rnacentral:misc_RNA from 1 species
GUCGGUCGUGCGAGGGUGGUAUGGUUCCCCCAGAGGCCGGUUCUUGUGCUGCCUACCCCUUCAGGGGAAUCGGGCCACUUGAUGUAAGCCUCCAUCCGGCGCCUUCCAACGGGCGCAGGAGGACAACAGGGCACCCCCCGCGUUCCACCGAUCCUCCUUGGUCGCGUGGCCCGCGGGGACGUGCGACGCUCUCGGACCCAGCGAACGCCGUGGGCGAGGACUCACGUCCCAGUCCCGAAAAGAAGCUCCGAUAUAAUGCAAGACGGCCGCUCCCGCCCCCCCGGGGGCGAGGCGCGGCGUCGCAGAGGAAUGCUACCUGGUUGAUCCUGCC